UCUGUAGACAUUCUAGGAUUUGAAAGGUUCACUAGUUCUAGGCUUUUAAAGAGUCCUCUAUAAGUUCUAGGAUAUUAAAUAGUUCGCAAGAAGUUCUAGGAUUUGAAGGGUUCCCAGGACUCUGUUCCCCACCUCUGGGCUAUGCAGUUGAGUUCCCUCAACUCAACAGGACCACCUGUGGUUGUGCUUUGGUUACAGUUCAGGGCUGCAGCCGUACGCAUUCCGCUGUGACCCUGGGCGACUGGAGCGACCCUCUGGAUCCCGACGCAGAAGCUCAGAUGGUGUACAAGCAUCUUUUGUUGCAUAAAGACAAGCUCAGGGAAAAAUACCAGGAGAUUUCAAACACGGAGGCUGCGCGGGAACAAAGCAACACAGCCAAAAGAGCUUCAGACAAAAACCAGCAAAGGUUGACAGCAGCUGCCCAUCUUCUAGAAGUCAUCCAAGGACUGGAGCAGGCCCACAGGGCUUUUGAACAUCAAGAAGAGGGAGAGAAACCAGGGACUGGCACGCUACCCGCUCCCUAAGUGGCACCAUCUCCCAUUAGGAACCAGGUUGUUUUGUCUGUGUUGUUAAUGAUGGCAUCAUCUUUACACCUGUUUGGAGAAGAAAGCAACUAGCUACAACUACAGAUUUUGCUCCUGCUGAAAGAGAACAAGAAACUGAGAAGGAAACAAGAAAGGAGAACAAGAAACUGAGAAGAACAUGGCAGAGAUUACAACACCUUUCUGUUCAACCAGUGUUCCACGCGGAUCUUUCUCAGAAAAAUAGGAUGUGUGUCCAGGUUCUGCUUACUACAGAGAUGGAUGGAAGUUAGUUCCUCUGGCCCUUAAGUCUCCUGUAGCCCAGAUUGUGGGGCUGGGCAUCAUCAUUAAUGGUGAAGAUCUCUCCGUCUGUCUGUCUGUCUCUCUCUCUUUCUGUGUCUCUGUGUCCCUCAUCAAGUUUCUAGUCUUCAUCACAGUAAAGAUAAGCUUGAAAAUAUUGUGGAGGGAACUCUAGUUUCAAGAAGAGACACUGAUGGCUGCAUCACAUUUUCAGAGGGGCUGAAUAAACCCCCCCUGUAACUCAUUGAGAUGUUCUUCUGGGCUGUAAAAUGCCGGGCCAUGUAAGCGAACUUUGAAAAAUGGAGAAUAAAGUAAUAUAAAAUGAGGAC
rnacentral:lncRNA from 1 species